rnacentral:misc_RNA from 1 species
GAUGAAGAACGCAGUAAAGUGCGAAAUGUAAUGCGAUUUGCAUGAAUCUGUGAGUCAUAUAAUCUUUGAACGCAACUUGCACCCAAUAAUAUGGGUAUGUUUGUUUGAGACGGCGAAUGAGUGUGGGUCUGAUGGUCUGAUGGCUGAUGGUCUGAUGGUCUAUGGAUCCAAGUGUUGGCCAUGAACACACUACUAGUGGUCUUGGCUCAAUAUUAGCAUGCUAUACUAUGCUUGGUGCAUUUGUUAGAGAUAGAGACUCAAGUCUUUUCGAUGCAAAAACACCAUCAUAUCAUAUCACAUCACUCGUCUCAAAUCAAGCAAGAUUACCCGCUGAACUUAAGCAUAUCAAUAAGCGGAGGA